AAGGCACCUUCAUCUCGCGAGAGUACCUCCUCUUUUGUACCUCCAUAAUCUCGCUUUACAGUGGUACCUCUCCAAAAUCCUUAAAUCCUUCAAAAAUCUUUGGCAAUGGUUUCUACUUCAACCUAUCUCGAUUCCGUUUAUAGUUAGGAGGUACUGUUUGAAAUUGUACAGCUUUCCUCCCAUCCUCGCUCCGUACCCUUGCAUAAGUGGAACCAACGUCAAGUACUUUUGUUUCCAUCCGUGUUGUCGUGAUAUAAG
rnacentral:lncRNA from 1 species